AUAUAUAUAUAUAUAUAUACAUAGGUGUAUGUAUAUAUUUAUCAAUAUAUGAAUGAGUUUUAACUGAGUCAAGCUUACGAGUGAACUUGAGUAUAAACGAGCGGGCUUUAACGAGCCUUAAUUGAGUCAAGUUGAGUUUUGUCAGGUAUGUGUCAUUUACAAAUCGAGCGGAUAUCUGCUUUUAAGAACGAGCUUAUUUUUUUAAUGAGUUGAGUACGAUUCGAGUUUAACUAAGUGAGUACCGAGUGGGCUAUCGAACAGACUGGUUCAUUUACAGCCCUAAUGGCUGCAUGAUUGGAGGUGGUACUCUCCCUUUUGAUAAGUCCCUCUUUCUUGAUGUAGUUCGUAUACAAGCUUUUAAUUAUCUCCUUCAGCCGUAAAAAGUUUUAUCGACUGAAUCAAUAGUAGUUUACAAGUCGAAAAUGGUACUGAGUGAAUAUAUAUGAUUAUUUUAUUAAUAAAUUGUAAACAAAAUGUAAAUGGGUUGUAACUCUAUUAUUGCUCUAUUGGCAUACUUAUCUACACACACAUGGAAUUUAUAAUCCAUCUACUUACAUGCUCACAUCCCCCACACCAUUAGCAUGACAGGAGCUAAUUUAUAAGAAGAGAAGUAAUAUAUUCAUAAAUAGAUAUCAUUAAAGUUUACAAAUGUGACUUACUGAAAUAUUAGAAAUUUAGAUUCUAAAGGUUUUUUUUACUAUAAAAUAAAUUUAACAUAUCGCAUCUUUUAUAUGUUGGUGCAGUCGGAGAGAAAAAUGAUAGAAGUUUAGAAGAUUGUAAGAGAAUAGGAAAAAGCUAUUUUGCCGCCUGGGGUUGACCGCCUUGGUUGACCGCUAGGCAAAAUUUAUUUAUUUAUUUAUUUUUUACUUAGUGAUUAAGAAAGUGAUUUUAUGUGUAUUGGUAUAUAUAUUUUUUUUACUUAAUGAUUAAGAAAGUGAUUAAAAAAAUGUGAAAUGGAAAAUGAAAAAAAAAAAAAAAAUUAAUGCUGGGUGUACCGCCCAGCAUUACAUUUGGGGCGGCAUAGUAGCCGGACCCAAGAGAAUAAUAGAUUAGUUGAAAGUUUUCUAUUUUAAAACCUUAUUUUUAUUUAUGUGUGGGUGUUAAUUAUUUUAAUAAGCUAAAUGUCCGCAAUUUUCUAAUUUUGGUUGUUAUCUCUAGCUUAGUAUUUAUAUGCAGCUUGUAUACUUGAGCUAUGCCUUAUUUUCUUAUGAAUAAAACUUCUUGAUUACUCAUAAAAAAAAAAAGUUAAUGAGUUUACCUUUAUGAGAUGUAUUUACAAAUUAAACAUUUCUCUUAUAAAAAAAGGUCUAAAGAUUUUCUAGUUUGACAUGUUCAUAAUGUGAAAGAAAUGUCUUGACACAUCGACCUUGGAGACAGAAUUUGUGAUCCAACACGCUUGUAUAGUUUUAGCGUGCUUCAUUUAUGUAUCAAGAAAUCGUGGAUUCUCAUUGUGAUGACAUAGCAUAUGUUCACAUGAAUAUUAAUGAAUAACAGCUCAUCAGUCAAGAAGAAAGCAAUAGUCUAUUUGUGACCUCAGUUCUGCAAUAUUUUCCAUGAACAAGGCGACCUGUUAUGAUACCUUUGUUUUUUGUGUUGACGUUUGAUGUUGGUUAAUGUAUUUGUAAUGAAUGUUCAUGCAUGGCUUAAACUUGAAGUUAGCUGUAAAAAGUCAUUAUACUUUAAAUCAUAAAUGUAUCAGUGCGCGGUACAUACCGUACUUCAUAACAGAUCAUGGUAAGAGUUACAGAUUCAAUACAAGUUACAAAGAAGCUUCGGCCUUCUCUCUAUUCCUCGAUCGGUUUUCUCAUCUUCAUCUUUGUUGUUCUUACCAAAAGCAUCCAAUAUCGCAGAACUCAAAUGUUUGUGCAGUAACACGAGAAUUGAUACAAAGAAGACUGUACAUGCAAUUGAUGAUACAAGUACGUACGUUUCUUAUCUCCUUAAGAAGCCGUUUACGUACGUUAGUCAUAAAAGGCGCCAUACAAGGAAACCCAUACCAACACACGCUAGAUGCCUGAUCUCUUUCUUUCGUUUCUAAUUAGUUUCUCACUUUGUCUUCUCUUUCUCAUUUGGUAUUUCCAGCGCAUUGCAUGCAUCGUGUCACUCAUGCUACUCUCAUCUCUCUCUUGUCUCUACCUCUAUCUCUUGAAAGCUCAUUAUAUGUCAACAUGGUCAUGUUCUUCCAAAUUAAAGUUAUCAUUCACUUAUUCCUUGACUUGGCAACGGUGAUAAUGACGUGAGAAAGACGUGAGAAGUUUUCGCUCCACUCCGAUUUCGAAAAGGUGGAACGGAACUAAAGUUUGAGCCUCCUCGAAGUCAGAAUUGGAAUUAAUUGGAGUCGAAGUUCAAAAUCUAAAAUCUUGACUCUAUUUUCACUAUUACCAUAUAUUUAACUAUAUAAAUGCGACAAUGAUUGUAAUAAUGUACAUAGUUAAUAACCUUAAGUUUUGACGUUGAGAUGAGAUAAAAUAAUGAAUUUAUGAAUAUUAUUUUUGUUUGUAAA